rnacentral:lncRNA from 1 species
UCUCAAAUUCAGAUAACUUGUUCUCAGAAAAGGUUUCAAAUUUCUCAUUUCUUGAACAAAAUGCAACAUGGGUAGGGUUCAAAUUUGUAAAAUGCAACAUGGGCGUGAGUUUAAUGUGGUUAGUGUGUGAUUUGUUGUUGAAUUUUUUGGUAAAAUCAUUGGGAAAGGAAAUUGAAUGGGACUUACAGGGACAAAGAAUCAAUGUCAUCUUAUAGAAUGAGAUUUUGUUCAAUUUUCAGUGAAAAGAAUUGGUUUCUUGUUUCAUGCAUAGGAUUGUGUUGUGUCUCAUGCUUC